CGCGUAGGCGGUGGUAUAAGUCUGAGGUGGAAUCCUACAGCUUAACUAUAGGACUGCCUUGGAAACUGUAUUACUUGAGUCGGACAGGGGAAGGCGGAAUUCCUGGUGUAGCGGUGAAAUGCGUAGAUAUCAGGAGGAAGGCCUGUGGUGAGGACGGCCUUCUGGGUCUUGACUGACGCUGAGGCGCGAAAGCGUGGGUAGCAAACAGGAUUAGAUACCCUGGUAGUCCACGCCCUAAACGGUGGGUACUAGGUGUGGGAUCUGUAAGGGUUCUGUGCCGAAGGGAAACCAUUAAGUACCCCGCCUGGGAAGUACGGCCGCAAGGUUGAA
rnacentral:rRNA from 1 species